rnacentral:rRNA from 1 species
UACGUAGGGCGCAAGCGUUGUCCGGAAUUAUUGGGCGUAAAGAGCUCGUAGGCGGUUUGUCGCGUCUGCUGUGAAAACCUAAGGCUCAACCUUGGGCUUGCAGUGGGUACGGGCAGACUAGAGUGCGGUAGGGGUGACUGGAAUUCCUGGUGUAGCGGUGGAAUGCGCAGAUAUCAGGGGGAACACCGAUGGCGAAGGCAGGUCUCUGGGCUGUUACUGACGCUGAGGAGCGAAAGCAUGGGGAGCGAACAGG